rnacentral:rRNA from 1 species
CAGCCGCCGCGGGAAUACGUAGGUCCCGAACGUUGUCCGGAUUUAUUGGGCGUAAAGCGAGCGCAGGCGGUUAGAUAAGUCUGAAGUUAAAGGCUGUGGCUUAACCAUAGUACGCUUUGGAAACUGUUUAACUUGAGUGCAAGAGGGGAGAGUGGAAUUCCAUGUGUAGCGGUGAAAUGCGUAGAUAUAUGGAGGAACACCGGUGGCGAAAGCGGCUCUCUGGUCUGUAACUGACGCUGAGGCUCGAAAGCGUGGGGAGCAAACAGGAUUAGAUACCCCAGUAGUCCCUGUCUCUUAUACA